rnacentral:rRNA from 1 species
UACGUAGGGUGCGAGCGUUGUCCGGAAUUAUUGGGCGUAAAGGGCUCGUAGGCGGUUUGUCGCGUCGGGAGUGAAAUCCACUGGCUUAACUGGUGGCUUGCUUUCGAUACGGGCAGACUGGAGGUAUGCAGGGGAGAAUGGAAUUCCUGGUGUAGCGGUGAAAUGCGCAGAUAUCAGGAGGAACACCGGUGGCGAAGGCGGUUCUCUGGGCCUUACCUGACACUGAGGAGCGAAAGCGUGGGGAGCGAACAGG